rnacentral:rRNA from 1 species
UACGAAGGGGGCUAGCGUUGCUCGGAAUCACUGGGCGUAAAGGGUGCGUAGGCGGGUCUUUAAGUCAGGGGGUGAAAUCCUGGAGCCUCAACUCCAGAACUGCCUUUGAUACUGAAGAUCUUGAGUUCGGGAGAGGUGAGUGGAACUGCGAGUGUAGAGGUGAAAUUCGUAGAUAUUCGCAAGAACACCAGUGGCGAAGGCGGCUCACUGGCCCCGAUACUGACGCUGAGGCACGAAAAGCGUGGGGGAGCGAACGAGG